rnacentral:rRNA from 1 species
ACACUCCUACGAGAGGCAGCAGUGGGGAAUAUUGCACAAUGGGCGCAAGCCUGAUGCAGCCAUGCCGCGUGUGUGAAGAAGGCCUUCGGGUUGUAAAGCACUUUCAGCGGGGAGGAAGGCGAUACGGUUAAUAACCGUGUUGAUUGACGUUACCCGCAGAAGAAGCACCGGCUAACUCCGUGCCAGCAGCCGCGGUAAUACGGAGGGUGCAAGCGUUAAUCGGAAUUACUGGGCGUAAAGCGCACGCAGGCGGUCUGUCAAGUCGGAUGUGAAAUCCCCGGGCUCAACCUGGGAACUGCAUUCGAAACUGGCAGGCUUGAGUCUUGUAGAGGGGGGUAGAAUUCCAGGUGUAGCGGUGAAAUGCGUAGAGAUCUGGAGGAAUACCGGUGGCGAAGGCGGCCCCCUGGACAAAGACUGACGCUCAGGUGCGAAAGCGUGGGGAGCAAACAGGAUUAGAUACCCUAGUAGUCCCAUG